AUUUCUCCCGACUCAGCUUCCCACCCUGGGCUUUCCGAGGUGCUGUCGCCGCUGUCCCCACCACUGCAGCCAUGAUCUCCUUAACGGACACGCAGAAAAUUGGAAUGGGAUUAACAGGAUUUGGAGUGUUUUUCCUGUUCUUUGGAAUGAUUCUCUUUUUUGACAAAGCACUACUGGCUAUUGGAAAUGAAUGAAACCUGUCAGCUUUCUGUUUAAAUAAAAGGUUUUAUUUGUAGCCGGCUUGGCUUUUGUAAUUGGUUUAGAAAGAACAUUCAGAUUCUUCUUCCAAAAACAUAAAAUGAAAGCUACAGGUUUUUUUCUGGGUGGUGUAUUUGUAGUCCUUAUUGGUUGGCCUUUGAUAGGCAUGAUCUUCGAAAUUUAUGGAUUUUUUCUCUUGUUCAGGGGCUUCUUUCCUGUCGUUGUUGGCUUUAUUAGAAGAGUGCCAGUCCUUGGAUCCCUCCUAAAUUUACCUGGAAUUAGAUCAUUUGUAGAUAAAGUUGGAGAAAGCAACAAUAUGGUAUAACAACAAGUGAAUUUGAAGACUCAUUUAAAAUAUUGUGUU
rnacentral:lncRNA from 1 species